CUCAGCCCAGGUAGAGAUUAAGAGAGUGGGUUGGAUAACACAGAGGGCUUGGCCUCUACUUUUGUUCCUACUUUUUGUUCAUUGAAAGGUUAGUUCCCUUUUCCCCUCACACUGCCUGGACUCCUAAAUUCCGCUCCCCAGGACGCUCCUAAACCCGAGUUCUCAGACCAGCCUGUCCUCCAUGCUCAGGGAGUGCAUGUUCACCUAGGCAGCACAGUGUCCCUGUAUUCUCUUGCUGGCCCCACCCCUCACCAGCCUUGCCAUGGGCGACAAGCAUGGUGUGGACCUGGCUCUGAGCCUGCCCACCUGUGAGGAAACACUCUGUAACAAGCGAGGAAGCUGCGUCACAGUUGACAACUACAUGGGAUGUGACUGCAUGCUGGGAUACCAGGGUCCCAACUGUGCCGACACCGUGAACAAGAAUCUGAGCCUGCCCCUGACGCUGGGGGUGCUGUCUAUCCUCUUCGCCUGCAUCUUCCUCGCCUUCCUCUUGGCUCAUCUGAGCCGAAGACGCAAGGCUCGGCGCAGGGUUGAUGCACUGAAACAGAGUAAUGGUGUGUAGAGAGGUACCCUCAACCCUGGACACUUGUAGGAUACAGUCCUAACUCACGCACCACCCCCUCUGCCUAGCUCCUCCCACCCUCGAACCUCUCACUGUCCUCUCCAGAGCUCAUCAGUCUAGCAUGAAGAAUGGGAUUCAUCAUUUACAAGACAGCUGCUGUUUCUACUUCUAAAGACAACCUGAUUCAUCAAGAACACCUUUUAAUUGCCAAUCAACACUAUAGAUAUGCUUUUAGGUUGAGGUUCUGAACAGAAAGCAUUGUUGCGCUAUAGAUUGGAUCAAAGGGGAAUUUACCGCAGGUGCAGGGGGUGCAUUUGCACCCCCUUCUGUUGGGAUGAAAACAUCAAUAUUUUAAUAAAAAAUGAUGAAAUGUUUUUAGAACAUAUAUCAGAGUUGUAUGUUCUAUGGUUUGUUGUACUCUAAUGAAUAAUUUUAAAUUUUAAGAUCGAGUAUUCAUUUUGAGCAUGUUUUGUAAGCAAAAAUAAGUAAAUCCCCAUACCCUUUGCUCCUCCAGUUUUAAAACCUAGAAUCGCCUAUGGACUGGAUAUUGGAAGCUGUGCAUUUUGGGAAGUGUACUUCUGGUAGCUGUGUCCCUCAAGUGCCUUGCUUGAUCAUCUUAGUACAUCCGUGUCUAGGAAAUGUAGGUCUUGUUUUUCGGUAAACAUUUCACUGAUCUCAGUGUUCUGCCUGAAACACACAGCUCUGUCUCUCUAAACUAUAUCAGAAACGUACAUUCUGCCGCUCCCUGACUGCACCGAAACUGAAUUUGUAAACAAGCUUAUUGUCUGACAGGUGAAGGACAAGAUCUCAACUGGUCUGACUACUGUCAUUCCUCUAGUCAGACGUGAUGCCUGUAUGCAAAACAAACCUAUUUAUAAGAUGACUAAUGUUUCAUGACCUGUCCAAGCAAACAAAGGUUCUUAAUUCCUGUAUAUUUAUUUUUACAAAUUGUAGAAAUAAAGAUGUAUUUUGGACAGAUGCAUUGUUCAUAAAAUGUUGCUUCACAGCUUA